rnacentral:rRNA from 1 species
GUAGGGAGCGAGCGUUGUCCGGAUUUACUGGGUGUAAAGGGUGCGUAGGCGGCUUUGCAAGUCAGAAGUGAAAUCUAUGGGCUUAACCCAUAAACUGCUUUUGAAACUGCAGGGCUUGAGUGAAGUAGAGGUAGGCGGAAUUCCCGGUGUAGCGGUGAAAUGCGUAGAGAUCGGGAGGAACACCAGUGGCGAAGGCGGCCUACUGGGCUUUAACUGACGCUCAAGAACGAAAGCGUGGGGAGCAAA